CAAUAACAUCUCCAUGCCUUGUGUAUCAUGUACUGUAGUAUGACGCUAGAUUAAAACUGAUGAGGAAAGGUAACACACGGCCACCGAAAGCUUUAUCUUUUGUGAAGCCCAGGUGGUUGUGUGGUCUAGCGGGAUGGCUACAGUGCAGGCGAUUAGGUGUCACGAUAUCUCAGUAGCAUUGGUUCGAAUCCCGGCGAGGGAAGAACAAAACAAUUUGCAAAAGCAAAUUUACAGAUCUAACAUUGUUGGGUUGAUGUUUAGACGAGUUGUAUAUACAUAAUGUACACAGCCAUAUAUCACCAUCAUUGCUGGUGAUCCGAUGGAUCACUCUGUUGUAGAGUUGUCACUGACUCAGACGUACUUAUAAAUAUAUAUAUAUAUAUUAAGACACAUGUAUGUAAUUAUUUAAUAAAUUCUGUUGUCCACUAUGCUUGCUGGGCUAUCAGCAACACUAUAUAUAUUGUAUUCAUUUAUGCCUUAUAAUAGAUAUGAAAGUAUAGGGUAUACGUAUAGUUAUUCAAAUGCAAAAGGUUGACAUGAGAUUAUUUCUCUAGUAGUGGUACAAGUAAUUGAGUUCAUAUUGUAUAGUGUAUGUUUAUAUUGAUAGAUAAUUUGUCUUAUUAAAUGGCAGCUCACAAUAUGCAGUUGCUGAUCUCGAGCUAGUCAACAAAC
rnacentral:lncRNA from 1 species